GGUAGUGGUGGAUUGUCUUUAUGUUACGUGUGUGCAUUUUAGGUAGUGGUGGAUUGUCUUUAUGUUACGUGUGUGCAUUUUAGGUAGUGGUGGAUUGUCUUUAUGUUACGUGUGUGUAUUUUAGGUAGUGGUGGAUUGUCUUUAUGUUAUGUGUGUGUAUUUUAGGUAGUGGUGGAUUGUCUUUAUGUUACGUGUGUGUAUUUUAGGUAGUGGUGGAUUGUCUUUAUGUUACGUGUGUGUAUUUUAGGUAGUGGUGGAUUGUCUUUAUGUUAUGUGUGUGUAUUUUAGGUAGUGGUGGAUUGUCUUUAUGUUACGUGUGUGUAUUUUAGGUAGUGGUGGAUUGUCUUUAUGUUACGUGUGUGUAUUUUAGGUAGUGGUGGAUUGUCUUUAUGUUAUGUGUGUGUAUUUUAGGUAGUGGUGGAUUGUCUUUAUGUUACGUGUGUGUAUUUUAGGUAGUGGUGGAUUGUCUUUAUGUUACGUGUGUGUAUUUUAGGUAGUGGUGGAUUGUCUUUAUGUUAUGUGUGUGCAUUUUAGGUAGUGGUGGAUUGUCUUUAUGUUA